rnacentral:lncRNA from 1 species
CAAACCACGACAAUUCACGUCGUUCCACUUGAACACUUGUGUUCUUAUCUCCCCCUAACGGCGGGAAUAUUGUCUCAUCAAAGUGACAAUCCGCAAUUUAGCGGCGAAUGAGAUUGCCUGACAAGGUUCCUACAUAUGCAGAUUAUAGGUGGAGGUUCAUAUCCAACCUAAACUUAUUCAUCUCAAAUGACCCAUCAUUGUACGCAGUAGCAAUGCAAUUUGGCACCUAGAAAUAACAUCUAGCAGAGCUCAAGGAUUGGAGAUCCGUUUCAAUCCUGCCGAGCUCAAGGAUUGCAAUUUCGUGUCAAUCCUGGUACACAGUCACGAGCUGUAGUACAACAAAAUUCAAUAAUGGUGGGUCGUAGAUGAAUAGUAAAGCUGCAUGCAAAUAUUGCAUAGCCCCAAGACGCAAUAGAAAGAGUGGUGCGCAUCAAUAAUGUUCGAGCGACAAGCUAAAGUUGCUUGGUCGUAGCCUCGGUGAGACUGUAUUGCAUGUGAACAUGGGGUACAAGACACUUCAACUUACAUCCCGAUGAACUUCUUUAAAGAGUGGGUAGUGAGCCCGUAGAAGUAUAAGCAGCAUAAGCAGUAGAUAAUAAUGUAACACGUGACCAGUGUGCUAACACUUCAACCAACACCAUAAAGCAUAAAAGGUGUCCGCAAGUUGGUUGUAUCUAUCUACAUAAUUUUAUGUAAGAAUAGAAUGUUCACUUUUGUGUUAUUUAGCAUAGGAGGGUCUCACUCCUAAUUUAGCUAAAGAAUAGGCUUUCAAAACGAGCAAUGAGCAUUGCAGGGGGCCAAUGCGACAUCGAGGAAAGGCCGGUGUACCUCAAUUGCUUGAGGAAUUGACCGGACGACCUCCAAGAAGUUGGAGUCGUGUUCGGGUGACGUCAAUGUCCCCCGGGUCACCACCAUGCUUCAUGGUGAUGCUAGGUCUCGAAUGUUUUCGUUUUGAGCGGAAGAAUGGAUGUCCAUGAGAAUUUGGACUAUUAUAUCUCUUCCAGGUUGACCAAUUUGGUCAAACCAAAGCCUAUAUGAGUCGGUGUCCCAAAUAUCAUGUUUGACGACAACAUGGGAUUCGAUAUUCGAAUCGUAGUGACAUACAGUUCACUAGAUUGACUCAUGAAUUUCUCCAAGAUGCGCUUCAGUUCGCAUUCAUAAGGAGGUAUACACAAAAGAAUUCUUGUUCAUUCUCACAAUGUGUUUUCAAAUGAAAAUCAUUAGCAUGAAUGUCUUUAAAGCUCAACAUGGUUCCUUAGAAUGUUGUGGAUAGUUCCACUAUCUGCGAAGCACUCAAUGUCUCUAUGAGACAUAACUACAAGGAGUAGAUAGGGGAGUAAAUAGUUCUACUUGAACCAUUUAGAAGGAUUGAAAGAAGCUACGAAAAGCUGCAAUUCCGAGAGUGCAUAAAAAUUUCCGCGCAGAAUGACCUUUGCGCACUAAAACAGCCAUAACUUCUUCGUUAAAAUAGAUAUGGACGAACCGUGAAAAGUUCUGAAAACUAGACUCAUAGAGCUUUCCAAUGAUAUAAAGCUCACUGUCUGGUUCAUCCGGAGCUGUUCACAAAGCUCAAACGAAGUUGACUGUCCAGAAGGGACAAAUUGCUGUUUUUCGCAGAUUUGGCAUGUGCGAAGCUGUGAAGCUUGCAGGUGGCGUGUAAGCUUUUGCCUUAGCCAAAAGUGACGUGUGUAUGAUCAAAACCAAGUCCUUUCGAUCGUUCUAAGGUCGUAAACUCCAUGACUNNNNNN